rnacentral:piRNA from 1 species
UGCCUAAAAGCAGCGUUAAUGGAUCAGGA